rnacentral:lncRNA from 1 species
CUCAAAGCCAUCUCUUGUGCCUGUGCCUUAGGCUGCUCGGGCGGCGUUUGUGGUUUUGACUAGGCGACUAGGGGCAAAAUUGGCGACUGUUCUGCAGUACCGCAAUCCAGCGGGCGAGGAAGGCAGCGAGUGCGGUUGAGUGCCCGCCCGU